UUCUUAACUUUGCGGGUCAGCAGUGUAUAUUUUGCACUCUGAACGUAGAGGCUACUUCUGGACAUCUACUUCAGAAGCAUCUUAGGGAAGCUGUCUAUUUUGUUGAUGGAGACACAGGUAUCUUAAAAUGAUCAAAGACGAAACACUGUAUGUUGUCUUUUUUAUGCGAGUUAAAGCAAAUUUGUAAAUUACUAUUAUUCCUCAUUUACAUUUUUGUUUCUACAGAAAAAUUUGUGGUGGCAUGCUAUUGCCAGGAAGCAAAACAAACUCAUCGAAGCCACAUUCAUUGUCCAUUGUGCAACUACAGAGUGUUUUCUCGAACUGCAAUCUUCAAGAAACAUCUUCAAGAUUGUCAUGGGCUGGCAUCUUUCAAGAAAAAAGCCACCAAAGAGGAUGACACCAAGACACCUGCUAAUGUACCACAAGCAAAGGUUUCACUGAAGGGUAGACCUAUUCACUGCACGUAUUGCAGCUCAAUCUUUUCCUCCCAUUCCAAUUUGAGACGCCAUAUUCGUGAUAUUCACAACCGUCUUACAACACCAAUGAUGUGUAUAGACCCCACAAAUGGAAUC